ensembl:lncRNA
CGCGCCUGCGCGGGGCUGCGGGCGUGGGGGACGGGCGGGCGGACGGGCGCGCGCCGCGGGACGGGACUCGGCCGGCUCCGGCAGCCUGCCGUCCUUGGCUCUUUCUCGCUCCCAGAACUUCAGCGGCCACACAGCCCCGCGCUGGCCCGGGACGCGGGAGGAGCGCCCCGCGGUGCGCAGUCGCGUGCCCUCUCCGCUCCAGGGCCAGCAUUUGGCUCGCGGGUCUCUGGCCUGCGCGCCGUAGCGCCGGGUUCGGAGCCCGCCCUAGUAUCUGGUUCCUCGUUAGAACCUGACACCCGCUAGCAGAGAUAGACUCUAAGCGCUCGUGGAAACACCGCCAGCGGAGAUCGCGGCGCCUGGCGACGGGCACCGGGAGGUGUGAACUGACUCUCACCUGAGACGCCCAACCACCGCCCUGCUUCGCUUUUCACGGAUUUCAAAGCAAACCGGGAAAAGUGUGACUCGGGAAGAAAAGUGACUUGCGCCCCCGGUCCAAAAGGCAGGAGCGGAUACCGAGCUGGAAGCGGGCAACAGUUUUACUACGUGUUAACUCGAUGAAGAUGUAUAAUGAAAAGGAGCAAGCAGAGAAAGGAAAAAUAUACAAUGUACAAUUUGAGGAGAAGGAGAACCAGGCAGUGGACUGGAGCUAAGUCCUGUGUUCAAGAAGAUAAACAGAUGAAGAAAUGGAAUAAAGAGAGUGGUGAUCCCAUGAAGCUAAGUUUCCAACUAAAGGAAUUAAAGACAAGCUUAGAACUAGGUGUGGUGGUGUAUGUCUGAAGAGACCAGCUUCCCUUUUGGCAGCCAUAACAGCUGAACACGUGCUUGCUAUAACCUUGUCUUGGUCACUUAGAGGUCAGAUGCCUGCCUCGUGGCAAGGAAGCAAUCAGAAGUUAGCUGGUGGUGCUAUGCUUUAUGGCUCUGGGUGUGCUUUAUGGACAAGCGCACAGCAAUGGCGCACAGAGCAUAGUAACCACCCUGGGAGGGCCUAUGGGCCAUAACCAGUUGACCAAUCAAUACAAGGCAAACCCUCCAAGCCUGGAGGCACACCAAUCCUGAACCUGUGUGUACCCCUACACACUCCCCUUACGCUGCCCUAUAAAGAUCUGUAUGCAGUGGCUUCGAACUGUCUUUGUUAGCCAUCCGACAUGGCAGGUGGAUCAAAGACCCGAGCUAACAUGGGGUUAGCUCGUUAAACUACAAUAAAGCCUCAUGCAAUUUGCAUCAAGCUUUCGCCUCCAUUCUAUGAUGGGGUGGCCGUGGUCCUGGGCUAAGAUCCUGGAAGCCUGAGCUUUUCGAGGGUUUUACAUGUCUUUAAUACCAGCCCUUUAGAGGAAGAAGCUGCUGGAUGUCUGAGUUUGAGGCCAGCCUUAUCUACAGAGUGAGCUCCAAGAUAGCCAAACUUAGGUGGAGAAGGUUACCAGAAAUGCUCAAGCUAUGCCCAGUGUGGUAGACAGUUCACUUCCUGCUGCCUUUGAAUCAAAAUGUAAAACUCUCAGCUCCUUCUCCAGCACCAUGUCUGCCUGCAUGCCACCUACCAUGAUGAUGAUGGACUAAACCUCUGAACUGUAAGAUAGCCAAUUAAAUGUUUUCUUUUAUAAAAAACUGCUAUAGUCAAUAGUAACUUCACAAUUAUAGAAACCCUAACUAAGACACAGGUGAAUGGAUACAACAGAGCCACUAGAUGUUCCACCCCGGCCCACCCAUCAAAACAGGAAACAAGAACAUUUUCUGAAGGGCUUUAAGCAACAGGAGACAAGAGGCCAUUGUGAGGUGACUAUAAAGGGCAGAGGAGCCCUCAGGCUACAGUGGAUCCUUCAGAGGGCUACAGGUCAUGUGCCACCUGCAAGUUCUUCUCGAUUGUCUUGAAUAAGUGGUUCAGCUUGUACUGUUUUACUUAGGAAAUUCUUCGAUAUAAGAGGAAAUCUGACUUUAGCAAGGAUAUCAACCAUAAAUGGCUGGUAAUUAGGCUCAUCGUAUUUUAACCACCUCACUGCAGCGUCAUAAACCUGGUCCUCUGCUCUCACAGUCAGAGUGUCCUGGCUAAGAAGCUGGGUUACUUGUUUGACAUCAAGUUGUAGAAAUUCAUCAGUUUUGUAAACUUUGGUAAAAUGCUGGUGAAUAAAGUCAUCUGCUGUUGCUUUCAGUUCAGGACAGUCCAGACACUCUGCAAGCACACUUAUACCAAGACAAUUUGAUGCGUCCACCUGUUCCUUCAAAAAAUCAACACACAUUUUCUUCACAGGUUCAAUCUGGUACUGAUUGGCUGCAUCUAACAAUGACUGGACGUUGUUGCUAUUCACAGAAAUUCUAGCAGUAUAAGCAAAUUCCACCAGCUGUUCAAUAAUACCAGGUUCAGCAUCUUUGAGUUCUACUUCAAAGGACUUAGAUUCAAGCAUGUUGGUUGUGAACAUUAAGUUAAAAAAAAGUGACUGGCUGCAGCAAGGACAACACGGUGAGCAGGAAUCUUUCUUCCCUGGACCAUGAGGAUCACAUCACACAAUGUUCUUUGCUUCCUCAUGGUGUUCAUGACGCCCAUGAAGCCCACGAGCAGCUUGGCCUCCUCGCGAGCGGCGAGUUUCUUCUCUGUCUUCUUCUUGCUGCUCUUCUCCACGCCCGAGGUGGCCAUCCGGGUUUGCCCACCACGCGCGCGGCGAGGGCUGCAGAGCACGGG